AUUGAACGCUGGCGGCAUGCCUUACACAUGCAAGUCGAACGGCAGCACGGGUGCUUGCACCUGGUGGCGAGUGGCGAACGGGUGAGUAAUACAUCGGAACGUACCUUAUCGUGGGGGAUAGCGCAGCGAAAGUUGCGCUAAUACCGCAUACGCCCUGAGGGGGAAAGCGGGGGACCGUAAGGCCUCGCGCGAUUAGAGCGGCCGAUGUCUGAUUAGCUUGUUGGUGAGGUAAAAGCUCACCAAGGCGAUGAUCAGUAGCUGGUCUGAGAGGACGAUCAGCCACACUGGGACUGAGACACGGCCCAGACUCCUACGGGAGGCAGCAGUGGGGAAUUUUGGACAAUGGGGCAACCCUGAUCCAGCAAUGCCGCGUGAGUGAAGAAGGCCUUCGGGUUGUAAAGCUCUUUUGUCAGGGAAGAAACAGCAGCUCUAACACAGUCUGCGAAUGACGGUACCUGAAGAAUAAGCACCGGCUAACUACGUGCCAGCAGCCGCCGUAA
rnacentral:rRNA from 1 species